rnacentral:rRNA from 1 species
UACGUAGGGGGCAAGCGUUGUCCGGAUUUAUUGGGCGUAAAGAGCGUGUAGGCGGCCAGACAGGUCCGUUGUGAAAACUCGAGGCUCAACCUCGAGACGCCGAUGGAAACCGUCUGGCUAGAGUCCGGAAGAGGAGAGUGGAAUUCCUGGUGUAGCGGUGAAAUGCGCAGAUAUCAGGAAGAACACCCGUGGCUAAGGCGGCUCUCUAGUACGGUACUGACGCUGAGACGCGAAAGCGUGGGGAGCGAACA